rnacentral:rRNA from 1 species
UCGUCGUCGCUGUCCGAGACGCGGUGCACUCUUUCGUGGUACGCGUCAGCGUCGGUUCGCAGCGGGCGAUAAGGCCUUGCGGAAGGUAGCUCGGGGCUUGCUCUGAGUGUUAUAGACGUAGGUGCUGGGUCUGCUGCGGACCGAGGAGAGAGAGUAUCGUUGCAGCGCAUGCCGCAAGGCUAGCUACCCGUCGUCUGGCUCGCUUCACGGACCGAGGACUGCACGCAGUGCUUGGACUGGCGGAGUGGUCAGGCGGUGGAGUGGUAUAAAUGCGCUCAGGACGCUGGCGUCCAAAUGGCCGUGC